GACGAACGCUGGCGGUGUGCUUCACACAUGCAAGUCGAACGAAGUCUUCGGACUUAGUGGCGCACGGGUGCGUAACGCGUGGGAAUCUGCCCUUGGGUGCGGAAUAACUUCUCGAAAGGGAUGCUAAUACCGCAUAAUGUCGUAAGACCAAAGAUUUAUCGCCCAAGGAUGAGCCCGCGUAAGAUUAGCUAGUUGGUGGGUAAAGCCUACCAAGGCGACGAUCUUUAGCUGGUCUGAGAGGAUGAUCAGCCACACUGGGACUGAGACACGGCCCAGACUCCUACGGGAGGCAGCAGUAAGGAAUAUUGCGCAAUGGACGAAAGUCUGACGCAGCGACGCCGCGUGGGGAUGAAGGUCUUCGGAUUGUAAACCCCCUUUCGGGGAGGGAAGAUGGAGUGGGUAACCACUUGGACGGUACCUCCAGAAGCAGCCACGGCUAACUUCGUGCCAGCAGCCGCGGUAAU
rnacentral:rRNA from 1 species